CUCAUGCGCAUACUCGUAUUUCCAGCCCAAAAUCGAACCACAACCGACACAGAAUAUGUCAACAACAGUGUGCAUUCCAGUCAUCAUCAUUCGUUCUUCUUGCUCUCCUUCUGUGAUAUUCACACUUAUUAUUGGGACAGAGCAAUGUCAGACACACCAUUGGUAAACACAAAAUACACGUGAAGUAUAUUCAUAACAGCAGGCAAAAUGUCAAUGCACAUGAUUGGCAACACACUAAUUUGUCCAGCUCUUAUGUAAAUAAGCAAGCACCAUGUUCUUUGAAGAAUGUAACAUAAGUUAUAUUUCAGCCUCACCCCAAUUAAGCUUUUGAUUCACUAAAUCUUCCAUUUGCUUCCUUCAUGAUAGAAUUUGUAGCAACCAAAUGUUUUUUUUUAACUCAUAAGGGAAUGGAAAAUACAAUUAUGGUAGCUAUGAUGACCAAUGAUAGCAAUAGUCUACAUCAAAUCCCACACAGGCAUGGGGAAAAAUAUCGAACUGAACAAUGAAGUUCCAGAGAAAACUUCACAAGAUUAUAUUUAAUAAUAAACACAUAAGCUUGUCUAAUGCAAUUGGAAGUUGUAUUAAUAUUGAACCAAAAUCAAACAUUUAGAUUCAGUGAUCAUGAUACAAAAUAAAAUAAAAGAAAUCUAACUACUAAUUAAGACAAAAAUCAUGGAACACUUACACCUUAUCAAAGAGAUAAGCCUUUCCAUGCCUGCAGUGGAAAGACUUAGAAAUGAUGUCAUCAGCAAGAGCAAGAUGGGUUUGGCAGUGCUUGCAGCUAUAGAUGCUUCCUUCAAGAUUGAUCACAAAUACCCUUCCCAUUUCUUCCCUUUCCAACAAUCUAUCUACCAACAAACACCACCAAGCCUAGUAUCAAUCUUUGUUUCCCAGCCGCGGUCACAGAGAGCGCAAAAAAGCAAUGAAAU
rnacentral:misc_RNA from 1 species